rnacentral:rRNA from 1 species
CCUACGGGAGGCAGCAGUAGGGAAUCUUCCACAAUGGGCGAAAGCCUGAUGGAGCAACGCCGCGUGGGUGAAGAAGGUCUUCGGAUCGUAAAACCCUGUUGUUAGAGAAGAAAGUGCGUGAGAGUAACUGUUCACGUUUCGACGGUAUCUAACCAGAAAGCCACGGCUAACUACGUGCCAGCAGCCGCGGUAAUACGUAGGUGGCAAGCGUUAUCCGGAUUUAUUGGGCGUAAAGGGAACGCAGGCGGUCUUUUAAGUCUGAUGUGAAAGCCUUCGGCUUAACCGGAGUAGUGCAUUGGAAACUGGGAGACUGGAGUGCAGAAGAGGAGAGUGGAACUCCAUGUGUAGCGGUGAAAUGCGUAGAUAGAUGGAAGAACACCAGUGGCGAAAGCGGCUCUCUGGUCUGUAACUGACGCUGAGGUUCGAAAGCGUGGGUAGCAAACAGGAUUAGAUACCCUAGUAGUC